rnacentral:sRNA from 1 species
GACGCGUAAGCGCCGCAGGCAGGAGCGGGGGACCCAAGGUAAGUGCCGAUGCCAGCAGUUGAGCUGGAAUCGGCUUGGGGUGAAGCCGCAUCGCACGUAGAGCAAGACGUGGGAUGCGGCCGGGCAGCCCAACCGGCCCGAACCCGACAGCUCACCUCGCAGGCGUCGGUGAGGGGAUCG